GAACUGAACAUGAAUGUUUCCGGUAGAGA
rnacentral:piRNA from 1 species